GGCCUGUUAGCUCAGUUGGUUAGAGCGUCGUGCCAAUAACGCGAAUGUCGUGGGUUCGACCCCACAUGGGCCA
rnacentral:tRNA from 1 species